AUUGAACGCUGGCGGCAGGCCUAACACAUGCAAGUCGAGCGGUAACAGGACUAGCUUGCUAGUUGCUGACAAGCGGCGGACGGGUGCGUAACACGUAGGAAUCUACCCAGUAGCGGGGGAUAGCCCGGAGAAAUCCGGAUUAAUACCGCAUACGCCCUACGGGGGAAAGCAGGGGAUCUUCGGACCUUGCACUAUUGGAUGAGCCUGCGUCGGAUUAGCUUGUUGGUGAGGUAAAGGCUCACCAAGGCGACGAUCCGUAGCUGGUCUGAGAGGAUGAUCAGCCACACUGGGACUGAGACACGGCCCAGACUCCUACGGGAGGCAGCAGUGGGGAAUAUUGCACAAUGGGCGAAAGCCUGAUGCAGCCAUGCCGCGUGUGUGAAGAAGGCUCUAGGGUUGUAAAGCACUUUCAGCGAGGAGGAAAGGUUGAUGAUUAAUACUCAUUAGCUG
rnacentral:rRNA from 1 species